rnacentral:rRNA from 1 species
CCCUUAGAUGUUCUGGGCUGCACGCGCGCUACACUGAUGCGAUCAACAAGUUUUUCCUAUGUCGAUAGACACGGGUAAUCUUUUGAACUCGCAUCGUGAUGGGGAUAGAUUAUUGUAAUUAUUAAUCUUCAACGAGGAAUUCCUAGUAGGUGCAAAUCAUCAGUUUGCAUCGAUUACGUCCCUGCCCUUUGUACACACCGCCCGUCGCUGCUACCGAUUGGUUGAUCUGGUGAAUUAUUCGGACUGCCGGCUGAAGGGGUUUCCUCAUCUGCCAGCGGAAAGUCUUGUUAACCCUAUCAACUAGAGGAAGUAGAAGUCGUAACA